ACUGGAGGCAGGUGGGGGUGC
rnacentral:miRNA from 1 species